UACGUAGGCAGCAAGCGUUGUUCGGAAUUACUGGGCGUAAAGGGUGCGUAGGCGGCUUUUUAAGUUUGGUGUGAAAUCUCCCGGCUCAACUGGGAGGGUGCGCCGAAUACUGAGAAGCUAGAGUGUGGGAGAGGAAAGUGGAAUUCCUGGUGUAGCGGUGAAAUGCGUAGAUAUCAGGAGGAACACCGGUGGCGAAGGCGGGUCUCUGGGCCGAUACUGACGCUGAGGAGCGAAAGCGUGGGGAGCGAACAGG
rnacentral:rRNA from 1 species